rnacentral:lncRNA from 1 species
CUUGGUUCUCUGAUGGGACAUGGGUUCCUUAGCUUGAGCGACGGCACCAGUGCUAUCACAAUAUAGAAAAAUUAGAUAUUCAACUAUGAAAACCACUCCAAGGUCGCUGAUGAACUUUUGCAAUCAAACAGCUUUUUUGACAGCAUCGUAUGUUGUAAUGUACUCCAUCUCACAGACGAAAUUGGCUAUAAUGUGUUGCUUGAAAUUUUUUCAGC